UCGACGGACUCAUACUGAAACCUAGUGAUUUAUGAGUUAGUGGCGCACUGGUGAGUAACGCGUGGAUAACCUGCCGUAUACCGGGGGAUAACACUUAGAAAUAGGUGCUAAUACCGCAUGAGCGCACAGCUCCGCAUGGGGCGGUGUGAAAAACUCCGGUGGUAUACGAUGGAUCCGCGUCUGAUUAGCCAGUUGGCGGGGUAACGGCCCACCAAAGCGACGAUCAGUAGCCGGCCUGAGAGGGUGAACGGCCACAUUGGGACUGAGACACGGCCCAGACUCCUACGGGAGGCAGCAGUGGGGGAUAUUGGACAAUGGGGGGAACCCUGAUCCAGCGACGCCGCGUGAGUGAAGAAGUAUUUCGGUAUGUAAAGCUCUGUCAGCAGGGAAGAAAGAAAUGACGGUACCUGACCAAGAAGCCCCGGCUAACUACGUGCCAGCAGCCGCGGUAAUACGUAGGGGGCAAGCGUUAUCCGGAAUUACUGGGUGUAAAGGGAGCGUAGACGGUUAAGUAAGUCUGGAGUGAAAGGCCGGGGCCCAACCCCGGGACUGCUCUGGAAACUAUUGAACUUGAGUGCAGGAGAGGUAAGCGGAAUUCCUAGUGUAGCGGUGAAAUGCGUAGAUAUUAGGAGGAACACCAGUGGCGAAGGCGGCUUACUGGACUGUAACUGACGUUG
rnacentral:rRNA from 1 species